AGAGUUUGAUCCUGGCUCAGAUUGAACGCUGAUGCUUUACACUGCAAGUCGAACGGUAACAGGCCUUCGGGCGCUGACGAGUGGCGAACGGGUGAGUAAUGUAUCGGAACGUACCUUUCAGUGGGGGAUAACGUAGCGAAAGUUACGCUAAUACCGCAUAUUCUGUGAGCAGGAAAGCAGGGGAUCGCAAGACCUUGCGCUGAUUGAGCGGCCGAUAUCAGAUUAGCUAGUUGGUGAGGUAAAGGCUCACCAAGGCGACGAUCUGUAGCGGGUCUGAGAGGAUGAUCCGCCACACUGGAACUGACACGGUCCAGACUCCUACGGGAGGCAGCAGUGGGGAAUUUUGGACAAUGGGGGCAACCCUGAUCCAGCCAUGCCGCGUGAGUGAAGAAGGCCUUCGGGUUGUAAAGCUCUUUCGGCCGGGAAGAAAUCGUACGGGCUAAUACCCUGUGCGGAUGACGGUACCGGCAUAAGAAGCACCGGCUAACUACGUGCCAGCAGCCGCGGUAAUACGUAGGGUGCGAGCGUUAAUCGGAAUUACUGGGCGUAAAGCGUGCGCAGGCGGUUUUGUAAGACAGGCGUGAAAUCCCCGGGCUCAACCUGGGAACUGCGCUUGUGACUGCAAGGCUAGAGUAUGGCAGAGGGGGGUGGAAUUCCACGUGUAGCAGUGAAAUGCGUAGAGAUGUGGAGGAACACCAAUGGCGAAGGCAGCCCCCUGGGCCAAUACUGACGCUCAUGCACGAAAGCGUGGGUAGCAAACAGGAUUAGAUACCCUGGUAGUCCACGCCCUAAACGAUGUCAACUAGGUGUUGGGUGGGUAAAACCAUUUAGUACCGUAGCUAACGCGUGAAGUUGACCGCCUGGGGAGUACGGCCGCAAGGUUAAAACUCAAAGGAAUUGACGGGGACCCGCACAAGCGGUGGAUGAUGUGGAUUAAUUCGAUGCACGCGAAAA
rnacentral:rRNA from 1 species